rnacentral:rRNA from 1 species
UACAGAGGGGGCGAGCGUUGUUCGGAAUUACUGGGCGUAAAGGGCGCGUAGGCGGCCCGCUAAGUCGAACGUGAAAUCCCCAGGCUCAACCUGGGAACUGCGUCCGAUACUGGCAGGCUUGAAUCCGGGAGAGGGAUGCAGAAUUCCAGGUGUAGCGGUGAAAUGCGUAGAUAUCUGGAGGAAUACCGGUGGCGAAGGCGGCAUCCUGGACCGGCAUUGACGCUGAGUGAGCGAAAGCCAGGGGAGCAAACGGG